AGGAAAACUGGAGUCAAGGCCCAGGUCUGGAAGUUCCAGGCUGCCUGCAGGGCAACAGAGUCAGUGAGUACAGGAGAAGCUGGGGAACCUUGCCGGGCCAUUUGGGAGGAGACACCCAAGCAAGAUUCAACAAACAACCGAACGAGUGACCCUGCUCGCCACUCACAACUGUGAAGUCUUCGGUUUAUAGCUUGGUGAAAUGAGAAGGUGCGGG